UGAUUGUAAGUUUCCUGAGGCCUCCCCAGCCAUGCCUGCUGUAUAGCCUGCAGAACAGUUGGAGUCAAUGAGUAGAGAAAGACAGGAAGAGGGCUUGGUAUAUGCAAAGGCCCUGUGGAAGCAGGGAGUACUGGAAGUCCUUGGAUCAAAAGACAGUCAGUGUGACCAGAGCAAAAGAGUGAGGUGGAGAGUGACGAAAGAUCAACCUGGAGAAGUUAGUAGAACCAGACAAGAAAGUAGACUUUAGCCACAGCCUGGAGAAUGGACCAGAGGAAUCCAGAGGGGACAAAAUAGGGAAGACGUAUUCUGAAGAACACGGAGAUAAACUGUGAUAAGAGCUCAUCAGCCCAGGAUUUGGGUGAGGUAGAUUCUGGCCUCCAUUGUGAUGUUAACUGGAAUACACAACGUUAUCUUCAUCUGCAUCCACUUUUAACUUCUCCAAGGAAGUGUUCCACUGUAAAAGAGCAACUUGACAGGCUGAGCCUGGCGGUGACAGCAUACAGGACGCGUGCAGCCCCCACGCUUCGCAUACAGAAGGUGCUGUGACUACAGCGGAUGCUCUGGAAUCUGCUGGAGAUCUGCAGUCUCCAUUGGUCCUAGUGAGGGGAGACCUUUGACUCCGUCCUCGUGGGGCUUUUUCCCUAAGAGAAGAAGUCUGGUCCGUCUGCUUGGGCCCCCAUCUCAUUUCCCGUUUCCUCAUGAAGGCUGUGACACUCUAUGAACGCCUCACUAUAAAAAGCAGAAGGAAUCAGACCCCACUGAGUAGUGCUGUGGGCCCUGAGGACGCUGUUCCAGAGAGCUCUGUCAUUCUCCCUGACGCUCACAGACACAGGAACAUGACUCAUCAAUGAGACAGUGUUGCCACCCGCCUUUCUCCCAAGCCUCCCUAUAAAAAGAGGAAAUGGCCUCUGACACUGGGAUGUAUGAACAAGAGUUCCACACACAGCACACAGCCUGAGAACUUCUGCCAUGGACUUCCGCACUGCUUGUAGGAUGCUGGUCUCAUGUUUGGGUUUUCAACCACAAAUCCAAAGAAAAUGUUACUUGAAGUAUGAUUUGUAGGGAGCAACCUAAAGACUGAUUCAGAAGGAAAAACAAAGGUCAAAUGGUGCCACUGUGAUAUGACUUCUGCAAUUUAAAAAAUAAUUCUACUUUUUUAAAAGAAUAUUUUAGCAAUGGAGAAGAUGGACAUGAAAAGAUCUAUAAUUAGGCUGGGCAUGGUGGCUCACGCCUGUAAUCCCAGCACUUUGGGAGGCUGAGGAGGGUGGAUCACCUGAGGU